rnacentral:rRNA from 1 species
AGGCUACUGAGACUAAUACUCUUGGAUAGUGACGUUACUCGCAGAUAAGCACCGGCUAACUCUGUGCCAGCAGCCGCGGUAAUACAGAGGGUGCGAGCGUUAAUCGGAUUUACUGGGCGUAAAGCGUGCGUAGGCGGCUUUUAAGUUCGGAUGUGAAAUCCCCGAGCUUAACUUGGGAAUUGCAUUCGAUACUGGGAAGCUAGAGUAUGGGAGAGGAUGGUAGAAUUCCAGGUGUAGCGGUGAAAUGCGUAGAGAUCUGGAGGAAUACCGAUGGCGAAGGCAGCCAUCUGGCCUAAUACUGACGCUGACGGUACGAAAGCACUAGGGGACGUCAAACAGGACUUAGACUACCCCUGGUAG